rnacentral:rRNA from 1 species
GACGAACGCUGGCGGCAUGCCUAAUACAUGCAAGUCGAGCGGAGUUGAUGGAAAGCUUGCUUUCCUGAUACUUAGCGGCGGACGGGUGAGUAACACGUAGGCAACCUGCCCUCAAGCUUGGGACAACUACCGGAAACGGUAGCUAAUACCGAAUACUUGUUUUCUUCGCCUGAAGAGAACUGGAAAGACGGAGCAAUCUGUCACUUGGGGAUGGGCCUGCGGCGCAUUAGCUAGUUGGUGAGGUAACGGCUCACCAAGGCGACGAUGCGUAGCCGACCUGGGAGGGUGAUCGGCCACACUGGGACUGAGACACGGCCCAGACUCCUACGGGAGGCAGCAGUAGGGAAUCUUCCGCAAGGGGCGAAAGCCUGACGGAGCAAUGCCGCGUGAGUGAUGAAGGUUUUCGGAUCGUAAAGCUCUGUUGCCAGGGAAGAACGCUUGGGAGAGUAACUGCUCCCAAGGUGACGGUACCUGAGAAGAAAGCCCCGGCUAACUACGUGCCAGCCGCCGCCGUAA